rnacentral:rRNA from 1 species
UCUGAAUCUGCGAACGGCUCCGCAAACCAGUUGUAAACUAGAGCAAGCAAGUCCAGGGGGAUGGCCUUUACGGGCUGACCUCCUGGGCUACAUGGAUAACCCUGGUAAUUCUGAGGCUAAUACAUGAUCGUAAACCUUGGGGCCCGGCUGCGGUUGGGAUCCCUGAGGGGCGUGUGAUUGUGGCCUGAGUUAAAAAUUGCCGGGAGGGGGUGCACGUCCAGACCGCUAUUAAAAAGGGAUCGGAACCUUCUUCCUCUCGGGGAGGCGGGGGCUGGCCCCAGCGGCUCUUGCUGUGUGCUUCUGACCUAUCAACUAGAUGGCAGCAUAAAGGACAUGCUUUGGU